GCCUGGUUAGCUCAAUCGGUAGAGAGUGUGACUCUUAAUCACAAGGCUGUGGGUUCGACCCCCACAUCGGGCG